GAGCAAAACAACAUAGCACAGCUAAACAGUUCGCCGUUUCUGUUGGUGGCGUAAUUUAUUGAUCUCGAAGCCGUGACAUAUAAAGAACCGGGUCGCCCCGCAUCGGCAGGAGGCAACGGUUAGCUCUAUACAUAAAUCUACAACAUCCAGCCCCGACGAUGAACACGGCAAACCAGGUUGGUGCUUCUAGUAACCGGUUUAUCAAUAACGGCCCCAACAGGGGCCGUUGUUCCCCGUUGUUCUAUUGGGCCCAGCUCAUUCUUUUGGCCAAGCCGGAAAAGAACCAGUCGGAAGCAGACAGCGGAGGUGCUCCGGGCAGUGGUGCGUGCCCGUGGAGCAGUGCAACCAGGCAGGGUUGCCAGAAAUUCCGUGAUCAUCAGCUGUGAUAAACCUGUGUCGUCCGAUAGCUGUGAUAUGACUGUUGUGCGUUUGGAGUAUAAGAAGUUUGUGAACUGAGUCCCGAGAGUAAUAAUGUUAAGC